rnacentral:rRNA from 1 species
UACGUAGGGUGCAAGCGUUAAUCGGAAUUACUGGGCGUAAAGCGUGCGCAGGCGGUGAUGUAAGACAGGUGUGAAAUCCCCGGGCUCAACCUGGGAACUGCAUUUGUGACUGUAGAGCUGGAGUGCGGCAGAGGGGGAUGGAAUUCCGCGUGUAGCAGUGAAAUGCGUAGAGAUGCGGAGGAACACCGAUGGCGAAGGCAGCCCCCUGGGCCAACACUGACGCUCAGGCACGAAAGCGUGGGGAGCAAACAGG